rnacentral:misc_RNA from 1 species
UGUGCCGUGCGGUUGGAUCCCUGUCUAGGCAGCGACAACUGCUUGGUCUUACGUGUUCAUUCUGUCGUAGAGCUGUAAAUUAUGACUUCGGAUGAGAUUGGUGACCUGCGCAAUAUACCUGUUAUGAUGGAAUUUCGAUGUCCCAUAGUCCUUAAUUUGUCUCGUGCCUUUUUAUUUUGUGUGAGACUGCCAAUGAGUCUAACAUGGUCUUCGGCCUCCAUUUCCUCUUGGUCUUGUAAGAGUCGAAAGUCCAUGUAUAGUCAGAAAUCUUGAAAGCGGAACCAGUAAUUGAUUAUGGUCUUGGCCCAUACUCUUCGGAGAUAGAUGUCGCUUAUGGAAGUCCGUUGUGCCGUGUGUUGAGUAAAGGAUGCUAAUGUAUCUUUUGCUCAUGCUAGGCCUUUGGCAAGAAGGAAUGC